rnacentral:lncRNA from 1 species
CUCUCCCUCUCUCUCUCUCUAUCGCUGAGCUCCUUGAUUCUUUUCUACUGUUGCCUAGUCUCCUCUCUGACUUGACCGUCGGAGGGUCUCCGUCGGAGUCACCUCCAGUCAGUGCAGACUUCUCUUGCAGGUGCUCGUUCCCGACGACCAGGCGAUGAGGAGAUUGGCCGCAACAGGUUUUGGCACGCCAGAAAGGGGGCGACAGGGAUUACGACCCCCACAGAAUUCGAAACAUCCUUUCGAAAUGACAAGAACCAGGACUCAGCGAUCAAGGGCCACCGGAUC